CCUACGGGGGGCAGCAGUGAGGAAUAUUGGUCAAUGGGCGGAAGCCUGAACCAGCCAAGUAGCGUGCAGGAUGACGGCCCUACGGGUUGUAAACUGCUUUUAUACGGGAAUAACGCGCCUUACGUGUAGGGCUUUGCAUGUACCGUAUGAAUAAGGACCGGCUAAUUCCGUGCCAGCAGCCGCGGUAAUAUGGAAGGUCCGGGCGUUAGGCGGAUGUAUUGGGUUUAACGGGAGCGUAGGCCGCAUGUCAAGCGUGCUGUGAAAUGUCCGGGCUCAACCCGGGCCUUGCAGCGCGAACUGGCGUGCUUGAGUGCGCGGAAGGCAGGCGGAAUUCGUGGUGUAGCGGUGAAAUGCUUAGAUAUGACGAAGAACCCCGAUUGCGAAGGCAGCUUGCUGCAGCGGAACUGACGCUGAUGCUCGAAAGCGCGGGUAUCGAACAGGAUUAGAUACCCGUGUAGUC
rnacentral:rRNA from 1 species